rnacentral:rRNA from 1 species
AUUGAACGCUGGCGGCAGGCCUAACACAUGCAAGUCGCACGAGUGGCGGACGGGUGAGUAAUGUCUGGGAAACUGCCCGAUGGCGGGGGAUAACUACUGGAAACGGUAGCUAAUACCGCAUACCAUCGGAUGUGCCCCGAUGGGAUUAGCUAGUAGGUGGGGUAACGGCUCACCUGGGCGACGAUCCCUAGCGGGUCUGAGAGGAUGACCAGCAACACUGGAACUGAGACACGGUCAAGACUCCUACGGGAGGAAGCAGUGGGGAAUAUGGCACAAUGGGCGAAAGCCUGAUGCAGCCAUGCCGCGUGUAUGAAGAAGGCCGUCGGGGUGUAAAGUACUUGCAGCGAGGAGGCGUUACUAGCAGAAGAAGCACCGGCUAACUCCGUGCCAGCAGCAGCGGUAAUUC